rnacentral:rRNA from 1 species
UGAGCAACCUGCCCCUGACUCUGGGAUAAGCGCUGGAAACGGCGUCUAAUACUGGAUAUGUGACGUGACCGCAUGGUCUGCGUUUGGAAAGAUUUUUCGGUUGGGGAUGGGCUCGCGGCCUAUCAGCUUGUUGGUGAGGUAAUGGCUCACCAAGGCGUCGACGGGUAGCCGGCCUGAGAGGGUGACCGGCCACACUGGGACUGAGACACGGCCCAGACUCCUACGGGAGGCAGCAGUGGGGAAUAUUGCACAAUGGGCGGAAGCCUGAUGCAGCAACGCCGCGUGAGGGAUGACGGCCUUCGGGUUGUAAACCUCUUUUAGCAGGGAAGAAGCGAAAGUGACGGUACCUGCAGAAAAAGCGCCGGCUAACUACGUGCCAGCAGCCGCGGUAAUACGUAGGGCGCAAGCGUUAUCCGGAAUUAUUGGGCGUAAAGAGCUCGUAGGCGGUUUGUCGCGUCUGCUGUGAAAUCCCGAGGCUCAACCUCGGGCCUGCAGUGGGUACGGGCAGACUAGAGUGCGGUAGGGGAGAUUGGAAUUCCUGGUGUAGCGGUGGAAUGCGCAGAUAUCAGGAGGAACACCGAUGGCGAAGGCAGAUCUCUGGGCCGUAACUGACGCUGAGGAGCGAAAGGGUGGGGAGCAAACAGGCUUAGAUACCCUGGUAGUCCACCCCGUAAACGUUGGGAACUAGUUGUGGGGUCCAUUCCACGGAUUCCGUGACGCAGCUAACGCAUUAAGUUCCCCGCCUGGGGAGUACGGCCGCAAGGCUAAAACUCAAAGGAAUUGACGGGGACCCGCACAAGCGGCGGAGCAUGCGGAUUAAUUCGAUGCAACGCGAAGAACCUUACCAAGGCUUGACAUAUACGAGAACGGGCCAGAAAUGGUCAACUCUUUGGACACUCGUAAACAGGUGGUGCAUGGUUGUCGUCAGCUCGUGUCGUGAGAUGUUGGGUUAAGUCCCGCAACGAGCGCAACCCUCGUUCUAUGUUGCCAGCACGUAAUGGUGGGAACUCAUGGGAUACUGCCGGGGUCAACUCGGAGGAAGGUGGGGAUGACGUCAAAUCAUCAUGCCCCUUAUGUCUUGGGCUUCACGCAUGCUACAAUGGCCGGUACAAAGGGCUGCAAUACCGUGAGGUGGAGCGAAUCCCAAAAAGCCGGUCCCAGUUCGGAUUGAGGUCUGCAACUCGACCUCAUGAAGUCGGAGUCGCUAGUAAUCGCAGAUCAG